GUCAGAUUUGCUCUAAAUGCUUUGGUUUUUGAGUUAUAAGCCAAAAACUGCAUUUUACCCCCUAUGUUCUAUUUUUAGCCAUGGCGGCCAUCUUGGUUGGUUGGCCGGGUCACGCCACACAUUUUUUAAACUAGAUAUCCCAAAGAUGAUUGUGGCCAAGUUUGGAUUAAUUUGGCCCAGUAGUUUCAGAGGAGAAGAUUUUUGUAAAAGAUUACUUAAGAUUUUACGAAAAAUGGUUAAAAAUUGACUAUAAAGGGCAAUAACUCCUAAAGGGGUCAACUGACCAUUUUGGUCAUGUUGACUUAUUUGUAAAUCCAACUUUGCUGAACAUUAUUGCUGUUUACAGUUUAUCUCUAUCUAUAAUAAUAUUCAAGAUAAUAACCAAAAACAGCAAAAUUUCCCUAAAAUUACCAAGUUCAGGGGCAGCAACCCAACAACGGGUUGUCCGAUUCAUCUGAAAAUUUGAGGGCAGAUAGAUCUUGACCUGAUAAACAAUUUUACCCCAUGUCAGAUUUGCUCUAAAUGCUUUGGUUUUUGAGUUAUAAGCCAAAAACUGCAUUUUACCCCUAUGUUCUAUUUUUAGCCAUGGCGGCCAUCUUGGUUGGUUGGCCGGGUCACGCCACACAUUUUUUAAACUAGAUACCCCAAUGAUGAUUGUGGCCAAGUUUGGUUUAAUUUGGCCCAGUAGUUUCAGAGGAGAAGAUUUUUGUAAAAGUUAACGACGACGGACGACGGACGACGACGGACGACGACGGACGACGGACGCCAAGUGAUGGGAAAAGCUCACUUGGCCCUUCGGGCCAGGUGAGCUAAAAACAAUAU
rnacentral:lncRNA from 1 species